ACGACUACAUCAACCAUGUUGUCAUAACGCUUCCGCUUACGGUCUAUGAGGAUUGGGCAUCAAAGUAGACGACAAAGGAUGACAAACGAUUAAGUUCUGCACCUUAGUCCACUUACAACUUAUAAGUUGAUUGAUACUUUUCAUUUUAUAUUGAUGUGCUUCCAACGAGAACAAAUUUUUCACCGGAUGUGUUUCAUUACAUAUGCCAUUUUAUUUGUGUGAAGUCUUUGAGACUUUCCUUUGAUUCUUUA